AGUGAACGCUGGCGGUAGGCCUAACACAUGCAAGUCGAACGGCAGCACAGGAGAGCUUGCUCUCUAGGUGGCGAGUGGCGGACGGGUGAGGAAUACAUCGGAAUCUACUUUUUCGUGGGGGAUAACGUAGGGAAACUUACGCUAAUACCGCAUACGACCUACGGGUGAAAGAAGGGGAUCUUCGGACCUUGCGCGAUUGAAUGAGCCGAGGUCGGAUUAGGUAGUUGGCGGGGUAAAGGCCCACCAAGGCGACGAUCCGUAGCUGGUCUGAGAGGAUGAUCAGCCACACUGGAACUGAGACACGGUCCAGACUCCUACGGGAGGCAGCAGUGGGGAAUAUUGGACAAUGGGCGCGAGCCUGAUCCAGCCAUACCGCGUGGGUGAAGAAGGCCUUCGGGUUGUAAAGCCCUUUUGUUGGGAAAGAAAUCCAGCUGGUUAAUACCCGGUUGGGAUGACGGUACCCAAAGAAUAAGCACCGGCUAACUUCGUGCCAGCCGCCGCAGUAA
rnacentral:rRNA from 1 species